AACGAACGCUGGCGGCAUGCCUAACACAUGCAAGUCGAACGAGACCUUCGGGCCUAGUGGCGCACGGGUGCGUAACGCGUGGGAACCUGCCCUUAGGUUCGGAAUAACUCCCCGAAAGGGGUGCUAAUACCGGAUAAUGUCUUCGGACCAAAGAUUUAUCGCCCUUGGAUGGGCCCGCGUUGGAUUAGCUAGUUGGUAGGGUAAAAGCCUACCAAGGCGACGAUCCAUAGCUGGUCUGAGAGGAUGAUCAGCCACACUGGGACUGAGACACGGCCCAGACUCCUACGGGAGGCAGCAGUGGGGAAUAUUGGACAAUGGGCGAAAGCCUGAUCCAGCAAUGCCGCGUGAGUGAUGAAGGCCUUAGGGUUGUAAAGCUCUUUUACCCGGGAUGAUAAUGACAGUACCGGGAGAAUAAGCACCGGCUAACUCCGUG
rnacentral:rRNA from 1 species